rnacentral:rRNA from 1 species
GAUGAACGCUGGCGGCGUGCCUAAUACAUGCAAGUCGAGCGAAGCUGGGACGGGUGUGUACCACGUGGAUAACCUCCUAUAACACUGUGAUAACUUCGGGAAACCGGAGCUAAACCGGCUACUUAUAGAUGGAUCCGCGAUGCAUUAGCUAGUUGGUAAGGUACCGGCUUACCAAGGCAACGAUGCAUAGCCGACCUGAGAGGGGGAACGGCAACAAUGGAAAUGAGCCACGGUCCAGACUCCGACGGGAGGCAGCAGUAGGAAGUGUUCCGGAAUUGGAGAAAGGCUGAGGGAGCAACGCCGCGUGAGGGAUGAGGGUCUUCGGAUCGUAAAGCUCUGUUGUUAGGGCAGCGGUGACUAAUCAGAAAGCCACGGCUAACUACGUGCCAGCAGCCGCGGUAAUAC